rnacentral:rRNA from 1 species
GGCGGAGCAAACACAAAACAACAGUCUCAGUUCAGAUUGUAGGCUGAAACUCGCCUAUAUGAAGUCGGAAUUGCUAGUAAUCGCGGAUCAGCAUGCCGCGGUGAAUACGUUCCCGGGCCUUGUACACACCGCCCGUCACACCAUGAGAGUCGAUAACACCCGAAGCCUGUAGUCUAACAGCAAUGAGGACGCAGUCGAAGGUGGGAUUGAUAAUUAGGGUGAAGUCGUAACAAGGUACC